GCUCAAUUCAAGGGCAUAGCAAAGUAGUUUUAGAGACAUUUAAUUAUAAAAAUUAAUACAGUACAAAAUCAAUUAUAUUAUAGAAUCAAUACAGUAGAAAUCCAUGCAGUAGAAAUCAGAGAUAACAUUAAUUUUGAUAUUUUUACUGAGUAAGUGACAUAACCUCUUUCAACUUCAUUUUUCUCAUCAAUAAAAUGGGAAUAAUAAUAACACCUAUUUCACUGAGUUGCUAUGAAGAUCAGACAAUAUAUCUGAAAUACUUUGUAAAUGUUAUAUAACAUUAAUGUUGUUCAGUCAUCCAAUUGUGUCUACUUCUUUAUGACCCUGUGGAACACAGCAUGCCAAUAUUGCCCAUGGGUUUUUUUGGUAAAGAUAUUGGAGUAAUUUGUUAUUUUUUUUUUCUCCAGUGGAUUAAGGGAAAGAUAGUUAUGAUUCAGCUCAUAAGUAUCUGAGUGUGACUAUGGACUCGGGUCUUUCUCACUGUAAAUCUAGUGUUCUCUCCAUUGGACAAUCUCCAAUGCACACAGAGAUAAGUGACUUUCCCAGGACCACACACCUACUAAGUGUUUAAGGUUACAUUUAAAGUCAGAUAUUCUUGAUUCCAGGCCAAAUGCUCUCUACCCAUUAAAUCAACUAUUUGUGUCUAGAACUAUUAUGAACUAACUAGAUAUUAUUAUAAUUUCCAUAUUUUCAGUGUUGAUGAUUAAAUCAAUUUCUUUUGAAUUUAUGACUAUAGAUUCCAUUAGAAAUAAAAAAAAAGCAAAAAAUUCCUGGAACAUUUGCUUCAAUAAAUUAAUUAUGUUUAAUAUUGCUGAAGAAUUCAUUGGAAAGGACUGAAAAAGGGAAAGAAGAGGAGAAAAAAUAAUUAUCAAUUCAGUAACAAUGUCUUGAUUAAACGAUGAAUUCUAUGUCAGUUACAUGAUCCAUGGGAUGGAAGAAAUCAAAAGGCCAAUUCUUUUGGGAAGUAUUGAAGAAAGGGAGAGACAGAGACACACAGAAAGCAACAGAGACAGAGAAACCAAAAGCAUUUGAAAUCUCUUAUCCUUUUUUGUAAGGUUAUAAGCAAUGAGC
rnacentral:lncRNA from 1 species